rnacentral:pre_miRNA from 1 species
AAACAGUCCCCAAUGUUUUGAUUCUUUGGUAGUUUUGGAUCCCCAAGGCAAAAAAAAAAAAAAAAUUGACAUGUGACACCUCACUUAGGGUGCCACAUCAGUGUUGAUCGAGUCAACAAUGGAUUGGGGGUCCAAAACUGCCAAAGAAUCAAAACAUAGGGGGCUGUUU